GACUAGUAAGUUACGGGUUUGACUGCCGUUCCUGGGCACUUUCACUGGUAGAAGUUGUGAAAACACGAGUUACGGGUUGCCUGGAACACAGCAUAAGAACACAAUGUCUUAAGUUGAGUUUUUG